rnacentral:rRNA from 1 species
AAAAACAUGUCCUUUAGAUUUAUAUUUAAGGUCUAUCCUGCUCUAUGAGUAAUUAAAUGGCUGCAGUAUUUUAACUGUACGAAGGUAGCAUAAUCAUUUGUUUUUUAAUUGGGGACUAGUAUGAAUGGUUGGUUGAGAAAUUUAUUUUAUUAAAUAAAUUUUUUUGAAUUUAAUUUUUAAGUUAAAAAGCUUAAAUUUUUUUAUAAGACGAGAAGACCCUAUAAAACUUUAUAUUUUAUUUAUUUAUAAAUUUAUAUAUAAAUAUUUAUUUUUAUAUUAAUUAUUUUGUUGGGGUGACAGUAAAAAUUUUUUAACUUUUAUUUUAUUUUUUCAUUAUUAUUGUUUUUUUGAUCCUUAAUUUAAGAUUAAAAGAUUAAGUUACUUUAGGGAUAACAGCGUAAUUUAUUUGGGGAGUUCAUAUCUAUAAAUAAGUUUGCGACCUCGAUGUUGAAUUAAGAUUAGUUUUAGGGGUAGAUUUUUAUAAAACUAGGUCUGUUCGACCUUUAAAUUCUUACAUGAUUUGAGUU